rnacentral:rRNA from 1 species
UACGAGGGGGGCAAGCGUUGUUCGGAAUUAUUGGGCGUAAAGGGUGCGUAGGCGGUCUGAUAAGUCAUCUGUGAAAUCUAUGGGCUCAACCCAUAGUCUGCAGGCGAAACUGUCGGGCUUGAGUAUGGGAGAGGUGAGUGGAAUUUCCGGUGUAGCGGUGAAAUGCGUAGAUAUCGGGAGGAACACCUGUGGCGAAAGCGGCUCACUGGACCAUAACUGACGCUGAUGCACGAAAGCUGGGGGAGCAAACAGG